UGGCGGACGGGUGAGUAACGCGUGGGUAACCUGCCUCACACUGGGGGACAACAGUUAGAAAUGACUGCUAAUACCGCAUAAGCGCACAGGACCGCAUGGUCCGGUGUGAAAAACUCCGGUGGUGUGAGAUGGACCCGCGUUUGAUUAGCUAGUUGGUGGGGUAACGGCCUACCAAGGCGACGAUCAAUAGCCGACCUGAGAGGGUGACCGGUCACAUUGGGACUGAGACACGGCCCAA
rnacentral:rRNA from 1 species